GGGACUAAUAGGCUCACACAGAUCGCACAUGCUGCGGUGCAGCCUACCCAAACUGCUUUCAUGCCGGACAGGAACAUCCUUGAAGGGGUUGUGGUCCUUCAUGAAACGCUCCAUGAGAUCCACACGAAAAAGCUAGAUGGGGUUGGUUUCAAAGUGGAUUUUGAGAAAGCGUACGACAAAGUCAAAUGGCCCUUCCUUCAACAGGCCUUACGCAUGAAGGGUUUUGAUGAAGCUUGGCGACGCCAGGUAGAAUCCUUCAUGCAAAAAGGGAGUGUUGGAAUUAAAGUGAAUGACGAUAUAGGCCAUUAUUUCCAGACACACAAAGGCCUGAGGCAAGGUGAUCCAAUGUCUCCUAUUUUGUUAAACAUUAUGGUUAACAUGUUGGCAAUUCUCAUAGGAAGGGCAAAGGAGGCCAGUCAGGUGGGUGGCUUGGUGCCUCAUCUAGUUGAUGGGGGUGUGUCCAUUCUGCAGUAUGCUGAUGAUACAAUCAUCUUUAUGGAGCAUGACUUGGUAAAAGCGAGAAAUAUGAAGCUGGUGUUAUGCUUAUUUGAACAAUUGACCGGAUUAAAGAUUAACUUUCAUAAAAGUGAGUUGUUCUGUUUUGGCAGAGCCAAGGAGGAACAAGAGGCUUAUAGGCAAUUGUUUGGAUGUGAAUUA
rnacentral:rRNA from 1 species